rnacentral:rRNA from 1 species
ACAUGCAAGUCGAACGGGAUCUGCGUGGCCUUUGUGGUUGUGUGGUGAGAGUGGCGAACGGGUGAGUAACACGUGAGUAACCUGCCUUUUUCUUUGGGAUAACGCUCAGAAAUGGGUGCUAAUACUGGAUGUUCUGCGCUUUCCGCAUGGGGGGUGUGGGAAAGGGGCCUUUGUGGUUUCUGGAGGGAGAUGGGCUCGCGGCUUAUCAGCUUGUUGGUGGGGUGAUGGCUUACCAAGGCUUUGACGGGUAGCCGGCCUGAGAGGGUGGGCGGUCACAUUGGGACUGAGAUACGGCCCAGACUCCUACGGGAGGCAGCAGUGGGGAAUUUUGCACAAUGGGGGGAACCUUGAUGCAGCGACGCCGCGUGAGGGAUGGAGGCCUUCGGGUUGUGAACCUCUUUCGCUCGUGUGCAAGCCGCUAUUUGGGUAGUGGUGAGUGUAGCGGGUAAAGAAGCGCCGGCUAACUACGUGCCAGCAGCCGCGGUAAUACGUAGGGCGCGAGCGUUGUCCGGAUUUAUUGGGCGUAAAGGGCUUGUAGGCGGUUUGUCGCGCCUGUCGUGUAAUCCUCUGGCUUAACUGGGGGUGUGCGGUGGGUACGGGCAGGCUUGAGUGCSGUAGGGGAGAUUGGAAUUCCUGGUGUAGCGGUGGAAUGCGCAGAUAUCAGGAGG